UCAGACGAUGCGUCAUGCAUAUCAAUAAGCGGAGGAAAAGAAACUAACAAGGAUUCCCCUAGUAACGGCGAGUGAAGCGGGAAGAGCUCAAAUUUGAAAUCUCUAAAGGGUUUCCCUUUACGAAUUGUAGUUUAAAGAAGUGUUUUCUGUUGAGGUUUUGGUAAAAGUUCUUUGGAAUAGGACAUCAUAGAGGGUGAGAAUCCCGUAUUUGACCUUUACUUUCAACUUUGUGAUACACUUUCAAAGAGUCGGAUUGUUUGGGAAUGCAGUCCAAAAUGGGUGGUAAAUUUCAUCUAAAGCUAAAUAUUGGCGAGAGACCGAUAGCGAACAAGUACCGUGAGGGAAAGAUGAAAAGAACCUUGAAAAGAGAGUUAAACAGUACGUGAAAUUGUCAAAAGGGAAGCGUUUGACACCAGUGUUGUUUUUCUGAAAAUCAAUUAAAGAACUGUUUAUGCUAAGCUUGUUUAGACUUUAUCAGCUAACUGUUUAGUUUUGAGCCUUUCUUUAAUGCACUUUUCAGUUAACAAGUCAACAUCAAUUUCUUUUGCUGUAAAAAAGCUUGAGGAAGGUGGCUUGAGAUUCGUCUUAAGUGUUUAUAGCCUCUUGCCUAUGCAGUCGGAGAGAUUGAGGUCUGCAGCGUAGAUCCUUCGGGGCUAAAUGCAUUUGUGCUAAGUUAUAGCAUUUUAUAGACAACUUGUUGACUAUGAUUUGUCUUGUAGCUUACUCGCUUAUGUUAUUUUACCUACGCUUAGGAUGUUGAGCGCAUGUCUCUCUCU
rnacentral:rRNA from 1 species